rnacentral:rRNA from 1 species
UACGUAGGGGGCAAGCGUUGUCCGGAUUUAUUGGGCGUAAAGAGCUCGUAGGUGGUUCGGUAAGUCGGAUGUGAAAUCUCCAGGCUCAACCUGGAGGGGUCAUUCGAUACUGCCGUGACUAGAGGUCGGUAGGGGAGUGUGGAAUUCCUGGUGGAGCGGUGAAAUGCGCAGAUAUCAGGAGGAACACCCGUAGCGAAGGCGGCACUCUGGGCCGAUACUGACGCUGAGACGCGAAAGCGUGGGGAGCGAACAGG